UGCCUCUUUUAAAAUUAAUAAAACCAAUACUUAGAUAUUGUUACGUGCUGCUCCGACGGUACACGCACGAACAGAAUUCUCCCAGAGGGAGCCGGAGGUUGGGAAAGAAAUCUCCCGAAGGAGCCGGAGAAUUUGGAGGGAUCGGAAGUUGGUUAAAAUCUUUUUGGUGAUCCUCAACGAUGGAUCCCAUGGUUUUAUUUAAAGUAUUGUUCCACCAAUGUCAGAAUGACACUUGGCGUUGUACACGACUAACUAAUUACUUUUAAUUACUUAAUUGAAGUAUUAAUAAUAAACGUAAUCACUCUUCAUCUUCCUCCGUCGAACCCGGCUGGAUCGUGGUAUCUCUCUCUGUUCACUCCCCUGUUUCUCCAAACUCAGAUCAUCUUGCAGUCGCUCAGUGAUUGUAUUGAGAUCGAGCUGGACUGUUACAGAUAUAUAUAGUAUGUCACUAUUAACGUCCACUGAAUUAAUAAUUACUUUUUGAGCUCAGCCCAUCUAUGAUGACCUCUUU
rnacentral:lncRNA from 1 species